GACGUAGGGGGCCAGCGUUGUUCGGAAUUACUGGGCGUAAAGGGUUCGUAGGCGGUGCGGCAAGUCGGGAGUGAAAUCUCUGGGCUUAACCCAGAGGCUGCUUCCGAAACUGCUGUGCUUGAGUGUGGGAGAGGCGCGUGGAAUUGCAGGUGUAGCGGUGAAAUGCGUAGAUAUCUGCAGGAACACCCGUGGCGAAAGCGGCGCGCUGGACCACUACUGACGCUGAGGAGCGAAAGCUAGGGGAGCAAACAGG
rnacentral:rRNA from 1 species